rnacentral:lncRNA from 1 species
AGGGAAGGAAGAGUUUUUUGCACCAGUAGGUACUUGUUGCCAUAACGUAUGGGUCUCCUAUCAACAGAACUGUAAGCCAACACAAAACUAAGCUGAACUAUCUCAAGGUGAGUCACAAUCAUUCUAGUUUCCAAACUCUCCAUCAACCACUCAGCUGCUAGCGUUCUGGCAACUAGAACCUUAAGACAGAAAGAUCUUGUAUUACGUUGUGGUAUCUGUGCAUCCGUGCUUCUGAAGUAAGGACUCAGUAACAAUUUGAUGUUUCUUCUUUUUCCCAUAUAGUACGAAAGUGAUAGAAUACUGUCAGCACUGCAGUGAAAUUUUUUACUCCUCCAGUCUGCAGUUAGCUGCUAAUCAAGACUCAUUUAACAACUCUGUCAGAAACGAAGUGUCACGAAGUGGUGGCAUUUACUGCCAGAGGGUCCAGAUACCUCAGCCAUGGUCAGCUGCUGUUGCUCAAGUCAUGCUGCUGCUUUUACUAAAUGAUUUUGUUCGAGCUUCUUUGAAGUAACCUCUUGCAAGAUGUUUUUUCCUUAAGGCUGUGACAGACCAUUUAUAAUGAUGCUUGGUAUAGCUGGUACGUGCUAACAACCUGAAAGCUAACCCUGUGCCUGCUGAAAGCCUAAACCAAGGCUGCAUAAUAUCCUUCAAGUUAGGGAUAGGAAUAGUGUUACUGAAGUAUGUUCCAGUGCUUGAGUGGUAAACGAAAUGUAGACUGAGUGAAGCAGGCUUUCCACUUACAUAAAAGGGGGUGGAGGGACAAAUAGUUGAAAUAGUACAGCUAUGCUGGGAGGGGAACUGAGAAAGCUGAGUAAAUGCUGUCCGUCACAACUCCUGCUGGGAAAGAAGGGUAGGGUGGUGCUUGACAAAGAGGGGGUAGUAGGAAAACUAAGGCUCUAUCUGGAACAGAUUUUUGAGGUGGGUGGAAAGGUCUAGCAUGGUUCAAACCAGUGUAAGUGCUAUUAGUUAAGAGGAAAAAUACUUAAGUCUUUUCUGAUCUCCCUUUAUGAGCUGCUUGGGCUAAUCUACACAAGGAUUUGCUUGAGUUUUCCCUCUUACCGGUUUAAUUUGACAUUUUUCUACUGUUAUUAUCUAACUCAUAAGUGAAUUCUUCUGCUAACAUGGAAGUCAAGCAGUAAAGAAACCUGAAUAUUCAACUUGAUCUACAUAUCGACUGCUGCAAUUAUAUAUUAAAAACAUCACUUUAAACAGUUCUUAAAGAAGCUCAAAUAAGCUUACUUUCUGCAGAGGUUGUGCAUGAUAAGUGUAAUACCAGAUAGUAAACAUGACAGAAUACUAUUUAAGUUAAAAUGGUGUUGCACCACAGUAUCUCCCUAGCUGGAGACCACUAAAAAUCGUGCCUGUAUUUGCUCUCAGAGCUUUCCUGAAGCAUGGCUAAGUACAUGGUCACAAAAGACUAAGAUCUUCUUUGACUGCAAGAUACUAGUAUGACUGUCCAGAAUAAGUAGUGCAAAACAUAGAUAGUCAGAAUACAUUGAUGUCUUUGCUGCAAACAUUCUCUCCCAGACACAGGGAGUACAAAGACAGGCAACACUUCAUGGUGUGUUUAAAAUUUGAACAAAGUUUUUGGGAAAUAUCCCAGCUCUUCCUUGUAUUUCUCCUCUCAUCCAGUCCUCGUCUACAGAUUCCAGCUCUGUUAUAAAAUCUCCUGCUUUGAAGGAAAGCUCAUCUUCAUUUUCACCAUUAAAAUCAUAGAGAGCUUUGGCUUUUUU